CCUGUAGUAAAACCAGCGGGAGGCCCUGCCUACCGCCCCAGAUGUCAUCAUCAGUGAUCUGCGCAUGCGAUCCCAUUGCGAACCAGUAGUAAAGGUUGUGAUCUUCAAACUCCCACAACUCUGGAAUCAACUCCUUCCUUUCCAAUGUCUCUUUGAAAGUGUGGUGGUCUUUAGAGGGGAUUUUGAGAUAUUUAUUCAACCGGCAAAACAAUAUAGUGUGUGGUUAUCCCUUUUUUUUUCUCUUAUUCACCCUGGCAGCCCUAAAUUAAUAUCUACUUUAUUUUAAUGCUUUAUGGACUUCUACGUACACAAUCUUAUUGCAGGUGUUGUUUAAAAUGUGUACUGUUGUUGUUUUUCAUUUGAUUGUUAAUACUUUGAUUACUUGUUUGGCUGUUAAAUUGUGAACUAAUUCUAAUGAACAG